AGCUUUGCACAGUGGCAGUAUCGUAGCCAAUGAGAUUUGUCGAAGGCCCGAUUAUUGUUAAUUGAAAAACUAAUUCGUUUUCACAUUGAAAUUUGAGAGGACAUUGCAUCAAUUUUUUAAGAAACGUGGAAAGAUAAUCUGAAAU